UACGUAGGGUGCAAGCGUUGUCCGGAAUUAUUGGGCGUAAAGAGCGUGUAGGCGGCCAGAUAAGUCCGCUGUGAAAUCUCGAGGCUCAACUUCGAGCUGUCGGUGGAAACUAUCUGGCUAGAGUCCGGAAGAGGAGAAUGGAAUUCCUGGUGUAGCGGUGAAAUGCGCAGAUAUCAGGAGGAACACCAGCGGCGAAGGCGGCGCUCUGGGCCGGUACUGACACUGAGGAGCGAAAGCGUGGGUAGCAAACAGG
rnacentral:rRNA from 1 species